UUCUUCACACUAUAUUCAGGUUUUCCUAUUUUCCGAUUUGCCUAUUUUCACAUUUUUUUCUUUUAUUUUCCCUAUUUUUUCCUCUUUUCUUUCUAAUUGGAGACUUUUUAUGCCGUAAGUUGUAGUCUUUUUAUGCAUUUCAUUUAUGGUCUUUUAUUUCUUGUAUUUUCUUUUCCAGUUUUAUCCUUGGAGGAAUAAUACAUGGAGUGGCCCUCAGCGGGUCGCUCUCUUGGAGGAAGAAUACAGUAUUCUUCCUCCUCUUGAGCAUGCGUUGCCUAACUUUGUAAUAACUACCGAUGAAGUCCUUAAAGCUCUCCAAUCCAUUAAAACAAAUACAAGUCCCGGACCUGACAACGUGUAUCCUAUACUGCUUAACCCUAGAAUGGAAACCGUUUGCCGUUGGCACAAAAAUUAAGGUGUUUUUGAAACUCGCGCUCACUGUGGUUAACCUUGGCCGACUUUUUCAACUCAUUCACGGGCAUGUAUUAGUGCGUCGGUGCCCUGUUGAGGAGAGGCGGGUAUCACAGUCCUCUGCUCCUUCUCACUUCUCUGCCUCUUCACCUCUGCACAGGCCCGCACCAUGCCUGGCCUACAAUCAGGGCAGAACCACAGCUGGUCCUCCUCCUCCUGCAGUACCCUGUACAGGCUCUGGCUACACCUCCCACAUCCUGCAUGGAACCACUGUUUACAUGCAUCAUGAAGGGCGCGUCAAGGCAUGAUGGCCCACAGUGGUGCUAAUGUGUCGUGCCUUGCCUGUCUUCCACAGGAAUUUUAGUAAAGUUUGACCCAUGAUCCAAAGCUGUGAUUCACAGGUUGUCUUGACGGUGACUGGAGAGUGAAAUUAAGGAACACAUGCUAUUUUCUUAUGAUAAUAAAACUCGUCUCUCGGAA